UAUUGCGCAAUGGGGGCAACCCUGACGCAGCCAUGCCGCGUGAAUGAAGAAGGCCUUCGGGUUGUAAAGUUCUUUCGGUGAUGAGGAAGGAGGAUGUUUAAAUAGGGCAUUCAAUUGACGUUAAUCACAGAAGAAGCACCGGCUAACUCCGUGCCAGCAGCCGCGGUAAUACGGAGGGUGCGAGCGUUCAUCGGAAUAACUGGGCGUAAAGGGCACGCAGGCGGAUAAUUAAGUGAGAUGUGAAAUCCCCGAGCUUAACUUGGGAAUUGCAUUUCAUACUGGUUAUCUAGAGUCUUGUAGAGAGGGGUAGAAUUCCACGUGUAGCGGUGAAAUGCGUAGAGAUGUGGAGGAAUACCGGAGGCGAAGGCGGCCCCUGGACAAAGACUGACGCUCAUUGCGAAG
rnacentral:rRNA from 1 species